GUGGGUUCUUAAUAAGGGGAGAAUGAAUAACUGGAUAAAGGCACUGGCAGUUAUGAGGACCUAAUUAAAAUCUUUGCAAUUUAGAGCUCGCAGCUGGAGGCAGCUGGGAUUCCAACCACCACCCCUGCAUGGCUGUGCUGGCUCACUCCCUGCUUUGGUAGAUUGGAGGGGAAGGCAGUGAGGACCAGAGCGACAGCUGCCCGGCCCCUUCAGCCUUUGUACUGUGGCAUCAGGAUGACACCUGCCCUCAGGACCCCUCCCCGAAGAGCCUUGGUGACAUGAGUGGGAGCUGUCACACCUGGUGGGGACCUUGAAGCUCUUGGAAUUGGAGUCUGACAUUACAGAACAACUGUGUCCUGCAGGGCAGCCUUGCGUCCUUGGUAGCCUCAGUCCCUUGGGGCAGCCUGUCCUGGGAAUGCCGCCACUGUUGACCUUGCUGGUUGCUGACCCCAUUUGAAACGGUCCUGGAUGUAGCAGAUUCUGCAUGUUCGGCUUCCAGCACCUCUCUACUUAGGACAGCGACAUUCUGGGUGAUUUUACAUGCUCCCCAUCUGAGGACUCAAAGAAGCAGCUGAGCAUCUCCACCUCCAGAUGAGGUACAUUGUGACUCGGUGGCCACCUGUACUGUCCAAAAGGACACAAAUUACAGGUUAGGACAGCCUAGUUCUGCCAAGACAGAAUAAGCUAGUCCUUACUAAUUCCUGUUUCACUAAGGUCUGUCAGAUUCCUGGGCCAGAAGGCUGAAGACUGAUGCUCCAACUUCCUGACAUACUAGGGCUGUAUCGGGAGGCCGCUGUCUCUACAACUUGUCUCCGUUCUAGAAGCUGUGUUAGGCUUCCUGUAUUCUCAGAUAAUAUUGGUUGUUCUCAGGUUUCUGACGGGGUUAUCGUUGCAUAGCCAACUCAGGCUAUUUAACAUUGAGAGAAUAUAUUAAAGGAGAGUUUUCAGAUAGUGUACAAGGUAACCAGGACAUAAUCCACAUUUUAAGCCUUUCUUAAGUUAGGAUAGAUAACAGAGUGUUCUAUGUAAUUGACAA
rnacentral:sRNA from 1 species